GCCUGGGUGGCUCAGUUGGUUAAGCAUCUGACUUCAGCUCAGGUCAUGAUCUCAUGGUCUGUGGGCUCAAGCCCCAUGUUGGGCU
rnacentral:tRNA from 1 species